UGGGAAUCCUGAGUCAUGCAUUUUAUUCACUUCUCUGGAACGAGUUUUGGGGGCUCAUUUAGCAGAGAAAAUAGGACAAGAAAAAUGGACUCAGCUGGCAUUGGACAGAGUCAAAGCCAAAUGACUUCUGGGUUCUAAAUUUUUUUGUUUUGUCUUUAUUCAUACGUGUUGGUUGUUUGGAUUGUUUUUCAUUGACCAUUGUAAGCUAAAUCCAUAUCAGGAGGAUCUGAAAAGCUCAUAAUAAAAAUAUAAAGUAGAGACCAAGGGUUGUAAAAGUGGCAUUUUACUCAAGAUAUAGUAAGGCUGUUUUACAAUAGUGGGUAGUAAUCAAUAAUUUAAAUGAAAACCCUCAAGGGUUAGAUGAUGAUAGAGCUGAUGUUCUUCUUAUUGACCAAGAUGCACCAACCAGUCUUGAAGAGGAUCUCGUUUUGUAAAGGAGCCAUGCAGAAGAAGAAUUCCCAGAGGGAGCCUAAUGUCUGUGAAAUGUCAUAUAUUGCUUACACAGAAACCAGUUACUCAAAGAGCUAUGCUGUUCUUAUGCCCUGUGAUGGAUCUACUGGGGAUAGAGAUAAGAGCCUGUCUGCCUGCCUCAGCCUGUGCACCUGAUCGUUCUUUUCCUGAAGCAACUUGUCAUGCCUUCACAGUGCACACCUGACCAGUUCCAAACCAAAAAGGGAUGUGCCUGGACGUGUGUGGAUAGAUGGCUGAGGGAGACAUUAUUGUUGUUGAUAUAUAUCUAGAAAAAGGAGAUUUAUUAUAAGCCAUUGGCUCACAUGAUUAUGGGGGUCAAGAAGUCCUACAAUUUGCCAUCUGCAAGCUGGGGAUUCAGGAAGCCUAGUGCUGUAGUUCAAAGGCCCAAGAACUGGAGAGCCAAUGGUGUGGAUUCCAGUCCAGUCUGAAAGCCUGAGGACUAGAAGCGCAGAGGGCAGAAGAUCCAUGUCCCAACUCAAGCAGUCAGGCAGUUCUUCCACCCAAGAACUCAGAAGCCAAUGUGCUAAGACCUGGCUGAG
rnacentral:lncRNA from 1 species